CUUCAUCCAUGUGUGUUGGAGCCAACAAAAGGCUCCAGAGCUGCUCUUGUGCCUUGUCCCACAUAACGCUUUCAUUUUAAGACCAAGCCCCAGUAUUAAAAGUAAACAUCAACACUCUGAGUGAUUCUUGGCCAUAGCAAGGCUCCCCAGCAUCAUUGCAGGAAAGAAAUCUCAACAAGGGCCUCUCAGUUAACUACACAGCCUCCAUCCCAGCAGCCCUGUUCAAGCACAGCCCCUGCAGACGGGGGCACCACAGCUUUUCUCUGUGGCAGAGGAAAGCUAUGGAUUUAUUGUUUCACCAUCAGGAAAUCGCGCUAGUUUGUUGUUGUUGUUGUUGUGUUUUGUUUUGUUUUUGGAGACAGGGUCUUACUGUGUAGUCCUGGCUGUUCUGGAACUCACUCUGUAGACCAGCCUGGCCUCGAACUUACAAAGAUCUGCCGGCCUCUACCUCCCCAGUGCUAGGGAUCAAAGGCAUGUGACACCACCACCCGGCCUGCUCUAGUUGUGAAGGGGAGUAACUAACUAACCGUACAGAUAGCCCGACCACCAGUUCUACUUUCGAAGAGGUGAAAAAUAAUCCCAUUAAAAUACUGUGUUUCGCAUUCUCUGGAUAGCUGAGCUUCCUGACCGACAUUCCUCCCGGAGCUGGGGAGGAAGCUUGACUCAGCUCAGCUCUGCUUGGAGUCCUGAGGAACAGGCUAAAUGCAUGGUGGAUCAGGGCAGCAUUCCGGAGUCAGGGGCCACGGGGCAGGUUCCCCCCAGCUCGGGGUCACAGGACAGAAGGAGAGAGGAAAAGAGUGUGGAAAGUCGGACUGCAACUGACUGCAUGCUGACGUCAUUGUCCAGGCCAGCCGCAGCUGCUCCUUCCUGGAAAGAGAUCUGCUAUGGAAGAAAAACCACAGCCCAUCCGCAUACCCCAGAGGACCCAGGGAGGAGCAAAACAGAAACCGGAUCUCCAUAGGAAGCGGUGUUACCAGAACGCCUGGGGCCGCGGUAGAAUUCCUGACCUUGCCAUAUCUCUAGCACACUCUGGGUGCCAGUGGCUGGGAAGGGGGUGGAAAGAACUCAAGCGGAUGGCAGAACCACGUUUGAUGUACGAUGUGAGGUCCCGGUUUCCUGCUCCUGCUCCUGCCCCACACCUCAUUUCACUCCUGUGGACUCUUACUCUUCAGGAACAGUGACACUAGCUGAUGUCAAGUUGACAAGACAACAACAAACCUAACGAGCAUAGCACAGAUGGAUGCAAAUGGAAGCUGGAAGGUCAUUAGGAGAAGUUCCUGCCCCCCAUGACCUACUGCUAGAAGAGCUGCUUCCGGUCUAUAAAGCAAGCAGCAGGUGCCCAGGACUUACUGCUGAGCCCCUUGCAGGCUAAGCUAGACAAAGGGUCCUGAUUUCCCAGGAAGUGUCUGUUGGAGUGGGUACAGUACGGCUGUGGAAACACAAAGGAGCUGCCUCUCUCCAUCCCGAAGCGGUAAUAAGUUCUCUACCCACGAAGGGACACACUUGCUCGGGAUAGAGCAGGAAAGAUCCCGUCAUCAACAAGGCAAAGCACAAGGUGCUUGGGCUUCACUUCUAGACUUAAUCUCCCUCCCAUGCAGAUGUGCUGAACCUUCCAGAAACUGGUCUUUGUCGCCCCAAGCAAACAGCCACAUAGAAAAUCUGUGAGUCAGUCAGCCUGUUCCUGUUGGUCCACCCAGGCUGGAACACACUAAAAGCCCAAACAAAACAAGUGUGGCUCUUACAAGCAGGAGGACGAUAAGGGAUCCGGUUAGAGGCUUUGCCCAGUGACCCACUGGCUGUUCAUUCUGUGAAUUCUGCCCAGGAAUUUACAAGGAAUCCAAGGUCUGUGAUUGGGAAACUGGGAAGAGAGCCAUCAGGCCGAGUUGGCAGUGAAAAGCUGGGUGAAACAGCGGAUAUCUGGUAAGAACUGGGCUGAGUUUUAUCCACACUUACUCCCUCCCCUCAGAAGUGCAAAGGAAGACUACACCGCCUUAUCCCGUUGCAAAAAUGAAAAAUCAUUUCUUAUAUGGAACUGAACACUGAGUCCUAGAGACAGGGAGGUAGACCCACUGCCAGAAAUGACAUCAUUAGGUAGAACAAGCCAAGGCCUUGUGACUCCAACAAUGGCUCCCCCGUCCAAUGUCACCACAUCAACACAGCCUCCGGAAGAUCUUGGCCCCUGCAGGUCUGGUGCCUGUCUGUUCCCACAAUGCUUUUCUGCAGACAUUUACCACUCUCUCCGGUCAAAGGCAUCUAAGCACUUGUCAAGGUGUCCUGAGAUGGAUUCUCUCUGCAGUUACUUGCUCACUUUUCCUGAAGGGGAAAGUGACCUCCUCAUGGCCUCGCUUGUGGAUCCCUAGCCCCUUGUGGGGUGGUUCUGAGUAUCUGAAGCAGCCGCUUUGGAGAUGGGUGGUCCUGAGUUCAAGACAUACUUUUUAAUCUGUGUAAUCUUAGACAAAUUAUUUAAUAUCUCUUUGCCACAGAUUCCCCCAAGUUUUAAAUGAGAACAGAAACCAUUUCCCAGCACAGUCAGGAAGAUUAAUGGAUCAUUAGUAUCCAGCAAGGGGCCUGAAUGUGGUAACAGCAGAAUAAAGCUGUGACUGUCUCGGGAACCCCAUUACUCACCUGCCCUGGAUUGUGGCAGGGAAGAAUAGUUUCAUAGAUGGAGAAGACCCCUGUCCCCCCAAAGAAAGUGUGACUCACAGAGCAGCUUUCUGCCUUGCUGCAAACCACCCACCCACAGUCCCCUCUCCUUGAUGUCACCACUAUUAGACUGUUCUCCCAUUACACUAGAAGAGAGGGUUGAGGGCCAGCCUCUGCCCAGAAUGGGGACAUCCCAAGGCAAACCAGAAAGCAAAGGAAGCUGAAGGAGGCAGCUUAGAUGUGCCCUCUCUCGGGAGAAGCAGCCAUAAAAGAGCUCUGGCUGCUGCUUCCCUCUUGAUAAAUGCCCUCUGCUUCUCCAGCCAGAGCGACUGCCAGGAGUCAGCCUUGGUUGAAGUUGUAUGUUUUCCCCUGAGCAGUGACCUCAGUGCAGUCUUUCUAGGGAUUCAUAAUCCCUGGGAAUGCUGACAGCCCCAAAGUCACUGCCUCCUCCCAACUCUGCUCUUCUGGUGACAAGGAGGCCUCCAGCUCCUCAGUGGGAUAGACUCCAGGACUGCAGGGAUGGCUUCUCUGUCACUGUAACUCACAGCUUCCUGAAUGCUGAUGGACCUACCAGGCCACUGGGCACCCAGGGCUAAGCCUUUGCUGCUCACCUUCAGGUUCAUUGGUUCUCAGAACAGGGAAAGGAAGGGCUGAUGGGGACCCACCUGUGUGACACUCUGAGGUGAGUUCAGGGGGACUAAGCCGACUGGUACACAUGUAACCACAAGCCAGGCUUUGCGAGUGAAGGAUGCUCCCCAGCUAUGUGAUUGUGUCAUUUUUAUCUCUGGUCCUAUGGAGAACUGGGACUUGGUAGGUGCUGGGAGGGAGCAGAAACUUCAGGGCGCACAUGAGCAUAGUCUAGAAUUCUCUAGGAAGGAGGAAGAGGACAGAAUGGCUAGCUAGCACAAGUGCCUGAGGGACAGUGAAAUUGGUGGUGAUCAUUACUGCAACUUUGAGCUAAACUUGGGGUUGUCUGGGAGGUAAUCAGAGAAAUAGGAGGCUUGGGGUUACCUUGCACUAGUUGCAAGCAGGCCAUCCAUUGGGCUCUCGUGAAUUCAAGCCCCUCAGCCUUGUCUUAGCUGGGAAGCCUGGUUAUUGGCUACCAGUCCAGUGACAUGGGAAGAGCACAUUGAUAUUUUGAGGGACAGACCUGCAUCCUGUUACUUGCCUUCCAAUAUGAGGAGCCCUGACCCACCCUACCCCCCAAUCUGACCCAGCUAUCAGGUUUUAGGUUUUAGGACAACUGUUCCUAGUGCUAACCCCAGAAGAAGAGCCAGCUCCAAUCUGCCCCCCUUCCUUACACACUCAGGAUAUAUAUAUAUAUAUAUAUAUAUAUAUAUUUAUAUAUAUAUAUAUAUAUGGUGUGCUUAUUUGAGGCUCCCUGAUGCCCUAAAGCACACCUUUUUAGGCGACAGUCAUCUUGUCAAAUACAAAGCCUAAACACUCAUGAUCUGGAUGGUUCUGACUUGAAUGGGAGCCUUAGUGUCUCCCUGUGUCCUGGGACGCUGAGCUCUGUCUCUGACCCUGUAGCCUUGAGGUGAGGAUUUUGCCUGUUAGGGUCUGAGGACUUCUCAAAGCUGAAGUUGAUCUUCUAUGUGGGUCACCAGAGUAGAUGGCAUCCUCUAGUCACUCUUUGCAAGGACAAUGUCUAGCAAGUGCUCUCUGCUCUGGCCCUGCCCUCAGUUCCUUCUUGUAAUGCCCUGGCAAUUAUUAUUGUGAGCCACAGAUGACACCUGUGGUGGCUCAGAGGGGCUGAGUCUGCACAUGUCUCUUGAGGGCUGUGUGUGGCUUGUGAUGGAGGCAGCUAGUGAGAAGUUCCCUGUGCCCUGUGACUAAGCUCAGAAAGGCAAUGAAGGCUUAGCUGGCUGCUUGUGUCCUGACUGGAGACCGAGGGUUCAGUGCAAUGUAACUCAGCUUAGGGGUUUCUUGAGUCCCUACAAGAACAGUCCGUAGGCUGAGUGUAGAUAAAACCAGAAGCAAAUGGCCUCAAAGAGAUCACAGUGAACGCUUCAGGUAGAAGACAGCAACAGAGGAGAUGUUGACAAGAGGCUUUCCCAUGAACCCCGCCCUCUGCGAAAUAUCUUUCCUUCACCUCUUCCCCAGAUUAACUUUCCUGGAUCCUCCCUAGGCUCUCACCUCAGUGACAUUUCCUUGAAGGAGGUUUCCCUGCUUGGAGUGGCUCGGGUAAUUCCCUGGUUAUACUCUCUGUCUGGGCUACGGGUUCCACUCCUCAGCAGCUCAUGUCCCUGAUAAAAUGUGCAGUUCUCUGUGUGGUUACUUGAUUACUUUAUGUCCCCUGGCUAGGCUGAUUAGAAGCUCCAUCAUGUUGAGUACCAGGUAUAGGAAGAACACUAUGAAGACCCACUGGGAAAACACAUGGUAAGGAAGGGAAUACAGGGCUAGAUGGGCAACUAACAGCCUCUACCAGGCUGGGACCUGGCAGAAACGGAAGAGGAGGGAAGGGUGUUCUGGAGAAGCUAGUGGGUUAGGAGAAGCUAGGUGUUGGCAAGUGGAAAUGGGCAAGGUAUUCCUAGUGGAGUGAGUGCUGAUGGCACUAAAGGUAGAGACAGAGAUACAGCCCCACCGUCACCUGCUGCGGCUUGAGGAGUUCCUUUAAUAUUUUAGGGACCUCAGCUCAGGUAAAACUGGACGAUCAGUUUCAAAGCAGAAAAGAAUUUCAGGACCAGCCAGUAUGAAGCGUAGUAGGAGUUUAUUAAAACUAGGAAGGUGGUUGUGGUGGUCAAGCCUUUAAUCUUGACUCUUGGGAGGCAGAGGCAGGAGAGUCUCUGUGAAUUUUACAGCCCAGCCUAGUCUACAUAGGAAGUUCCACUCUAGCCAGAGGUACACAGUGAGACUCUGUCUCAAAGAAAAUAAACAAAUAAAAAAGAAAAUAGAAAAAAAAGGCAAUUAGGGAGAGGGGAAAGGGGCCUACAUCAUGGCUGUGAACUUCUCAAAGAAAAGUUGUAGUUUACUAGAAGGUAUUUUAAUAGAAUAUGUUUUACUUAUUCUUUGAUAAUUGCAUAGGUAUAAACAAUGUAUCUUUGUGCAUCCCUGACUCCCCAUUCCCACUCCCCCAGGAGCACCCAACAUGUCACUCUCCUGUCUGUAUGUCUUUCCUUUCUUUUUAACAACCCACCAAAUCCCAUUAGCAUUGGAGUUGGAAUGGUGAGUGAUCUUGUUGGCUUGAUCUUGUCCAGAUCUUGUGCAGCUAACCGAUUCUGCAGUGAGUUCAUGGGUAUAGUGGCUACAUUGUGUCCCAAAGACAGCUUUUCAUAGCCAUCUUCCUCAUCCUCUGGCUCUUACCUUCUUUCCACCCUUCUUCAAUGUUCCCCGAGUCUCAUGGUGGUGGGAAGGUGUUUGAUAUAGAUGUCCCAUUUAGGAAUAAGCCUUCAGUAGACAUAUACUCUCAGCACUUUGACCAGUUAACUGCCGACCACUACAGAGAGAAGCUUCUCGAAUUAAGGUUGAGGGCAGUACUGUGUGUAUAAACAUAAACAUUUAGAAAGUGGUUGACAAUUGUGUCCAUUUAGAAAAAAAUGACAGUAAUGGGUUCCUCCCUAGGGCCUGUAAUUUCUUGAGCCACAGGCUUUUGGCCAGGUUAAUGGUACCAGGCUUGAAUUCCUUCCUGAGGAGCAAGCCUUAAAUCCAAAUCAGAGGCAGUUGUUACCUCUACAGCAUUCAUGCCACAACUGCCUCAGUUGGAACAUCUUGUCUGGCAUUAUAUGUAACAUGCAGUGUUGGCUACAGGAUGCCACUGAUGUCUUUUCUCCCACAGUAGCCUUCAGAGCACCUUUUAUCACUAGGAAAGCUAGUCAUUAGGGGGAAAGUUUCAGGUCACUUCCAGCUUAAUUUAUCUAUGUUAAAAGAUCUCUAACAUAGAUUUUAAGCCUGGUUAACCAAGAGAGGUGUCCUGGGAAAGAAUAAGAUACAUCCAAGAGCACUCACUAUGGAGCUCCUCAGACACAACUAAAUGCCUCUUGGCAUUAGCCAUGUACACCAUUUUGCUGGCUCUCAAGUUACAUCUGAAAAUGUUCUUGUCCUACUCUUGUGAUAAGUGAGAUUACAGGGUGACUCUAACUCUUGGAUGGGACCGUAAUCUGACAGUGUGAAACCAGGAGCCACUCGGGUUAGGUGGAAGUUUCCGACACAUCUUUUACUGUAAAUAGGCUUUCUCGUGAGGUUCCUGGAAAAUUGUUGGUCCACAGCUGGCUUCUGAAAGGAGAACGGCCUUGUGAAUGAGAAUUCCUGGAAAGAAACUGUUUACCCUGGCUGAUUAACUAAUUAAAACUUCAAAGACAUGGAGAGGUUGGAAUCUUGUUGUUUCAACCCUAAUUACAAUUUAUGUGCUUAUCAGCGUAAUAAACAGCCAUUCCUAACCCUGGCUGCACCAGACCUAAUGUCCUACUAUUAGCCGGGCCUGAUAGCCUAUGAACAGGUUAAAACCUUUGCAAUAUAGUAACUUGACAGAACUCUGUUCUCCACUAAUCAAGGGCUAAGAAUGCUAUCAGAUAACAUCUAUUGCCUACAGCUGCAAUCUCCCCACUGUUCUCUGCCUACUUAAUGUUUCAACAGAUGCAUUUUAAAACCACCUUGAUUUAUAAUUUUCUUUGUGCUGUGACUAUAAAAGCUCCAUGAAACUGUUUCCACACUGGGGCAUGGAACCUGUGGUAACCCAGCUCUGUGUUCUGGACCACAGUCACUCAUGCUUUUACUCCAGAAUAGGCUCUCUUAUUCCCUUUGAGUUGAGAAAUGUUGUUUUGGCUGGACAGUUUAAGCAAGUGUUAACUGUGUUGGGAUUCUUGACACUCACCUGCUGAGAGUCUUCAAUCAGACUCUAAGGUAAUGGCUACGUUCCCUUCCAGGUCCCCACAAUUUUCCCUUCUAUCCCAUCACAGCAGGAGCUCUGUAGCACAGGUUAGGAGCAGAUUGAGAAAUGAGAUCUAGGGCAGCCAGCUGAAUGCUGGGGAUGUGACCUUGGGAUGUUCCUGUGAGCCUGAAAGAGGCUGGCCCCAGAAAGGGCUUAGUGAUGAUCACAGCCCAGGAAGGAACUUAGGAGUCAUGGUCUGUAGCAAUGGGGACAAAGCCCAGAGCAGGAGGACAAGGGCAUUCAGUCAAGGACACAGCACCAGCCAUUCCUCAGCUACAAUGGGAGGAGCGCUGGCACCAGUGGCCCAAGUCAAGGCUCCCUGAAAGCAGCUGUGUGGCCUCCAUGGCUUGCAGGUUGGGCAGUAGGACAGUGUCCCUCUGAUGUGCCUCAAGUGUGAAUUUCACCCUGUCUGCUGCAGUGAUCUCUCUCUUUCCUCCUUCACCUGGUCUUUGGGAAGGUGGAGGCAUCCAGGUGCCCUGCAUGGCAGAUGCGUGUGAUACAAGGUGUCCUGGACAUUCUCUACUUGGUCCUCAGGCCCACCCUCCACCUUUCUCCACCCUUCCCUGUGCCUUGGGAGGAGAUUCUUUGGGCUGUCAGCCUAGCUGACUCACCUUUGGCUUCCAUUGGGUCCAGCUGUAUGGCAUAAUAAAAACCUUAUCGGGUCUUUGUCUCCAGGUUGCUGGCACCUUGGGAUUUCCUGUGUGAUAAGAAAUGCUUUGUUAUGCAUAAUGACUUUUUAAAAAAAAUGUCACCAGAGUUCAUGCUAAUGAGAUGACUCAAUAUAGGGCCCUGUUUAGCUUCCCAGAAGGACUGGUCACCAGAACAGACUGAACGAAUCCUUCAAGAGUCAGAGACUUUAGCCCCACCCUAACCUCCACAGUGGGAAAGGACUAGAGAUAGGGUUGUAGAGGAGAUCUAGUGAGAUGGUGUGUCCAGAGAAGGUGUGAAAGCCAUGGAAGUUCUGUACCACCCUACACACACACACACACACACACACACACACACACACACACCACCUGCCAGGCAAGUCUAUUCCAGGUUCUUAUGCUGGCUAGUUUCUUCUUAAGAGACUACACUUCCAAACUUCCCUUGUAGCCAGACCAAAAUACUCUGGAAAGGAGGGAAAAUGGUAUGGUAGUAGUUUCCUCCCCUAUAAGGGGUCUCACCUUCUUUUAUAGGCAUUUUUUAUCCACACCCAGGGGUGACCAGAUGUUCCUUACCUUGAACAUGGUCCCGAGUAUAUAAAGUUGGACGGUGCUUUCUUCCUGCCCUUUCUGUCUUUCUUUAAGCCCACAUGCCCCAUGAAAUCUAACAAUGCUCUACAGCUAACUGCUGACCACGGGUGUCUCCUGAGUGCCAUAACCUGUUCUAGUGAAUUAUCAAAACCAUGAAGAGAUUAUGUGAACUCCAGAUAGUUAGGGAGCCUGCCUAGACCUUGGGCCUGCCAUCUGAAGAGAGGGCACUCUUGGGACUCUGGACAAACUCUGAAGUUAGUGUUGAGGCAGGAUAGAAAGGGAAGUCACGGGGAGAUGGGAAUGGGGAGCCCCUCGUUGCAGGCUAGCUAAUGCUUGUGGCCAGCUGAGAAUCAAGAAUUCCAGCACGAUGAACAUUUACUUUGAAGGUUCCUGGACCUAGGGGCAAUAUUUUAUGUAGAAAUAUUUUCAAAUGAGAGUGCUAAAAUAACAAUGAACCAAGAUUAACGCCCUGUAUGUAUGACUUCAGGUAUGGCCUCACUCCUCUCCCAGACAUUUUCUGGGAAUCUCACAAAUAAGACUGAGGUAGAAAAAUUUCAGAGGACAAAAGAAAUGAGUCCCUGACCCAAGAAUGCCAGGAGAAAAGCAAGAAUUCUAGCAUCAACUGCUUACUGCCUUUCUGCCUUCCCAGUUGUAAACCUGCAAUUUUCUAAGCAUCUCACCAGAAAACCCGCUUGCAGGAAGAUGUGUACUAACCCCAUUGUGCAAUCAAAAUUCACCUUAUUGAAUUGUGGUUCCCACCAGGACAUCUCUGGAACCCCUCACUAUCAAGGCAUAGAAAACCAGUUUCUUAGAAAUCUUUUAAGAUGUAACUUGAGAGCCACCAGAAUGGUACAUAUGGCUAAUGCUGAGAUGGUCAAUUAUACCUCUCUCUCUCCAUGUGCUAUGUCUUACUUUCUCCUAUAUCUCUUAGGGAGCACAGACCCACACUUAGGUGUAUGUACUUCUUUUCUGAGCACGUUUAAGUCUAUAUUAAGGUUGGGUUUUUUGCAUUUAAACAAUUUGUGUGUGUGUACACAUGUGCACCAGUACAUUCUUGUGUGUGUGUGUGUGUGUGUGUGUGUGUGUGUGUGACACAGCAUGCCUGUGGAGGUGAGAAGACAGGACAGCUUGGUUGUGGGUACAGCACUCACGCUAAUGAGUCAGCAGCUGUGGUAUGAGGACACACGUGCAGAGUCCCACCUAGGGCAAUCAUCCUGGCAAUCAGGCUGGAUGGCUGUUUGCCACCUGGUGACUCUGGGAACAGUUUAUUGACCAGCCCUUUUUCUGAGAAGCAAAGAAGUUAUAGUUGGGGAGGGAACCAGCUAUUCAAAGUGACUCCUUUUGGUGGAAUGGGAUCUCCUCAUUUGACUCCUGUCUUCUUCCCAUUUUGUCAGAAAAGGCACUUAGAAAAUUCUCAUUAAAUUGUUUUUACACUAUCCAAGGUCUCAGGUCAAUUAAUUCAGGCUUUUGUGCUCAUUUCUCUCUGAAGACUACCUGCUUCUUUUUAUUUUUCUUAUUUAAGAGUGUUAAGAGUAACCAGAGAACACAUUUCUAACCCCAAUAAGAAGUCUUAUCUUACUGUUUUGCUUUGUUUUGUUUUGCAUUUAAAGAGUUAUUUUUGCUGCUUUCUGUCCUUUCCCCUAUACUCUGACUUUUGCUUCUGUCAGGUUCUGUCUCCAGUCAAGCGGGGUGACAUUGGCCACCAUUUGCAGGAGAGAUGGAAACGGGUUGUGUUCCUUGAUUCACCAGUCGGUAGUUCCGGGCUGUCAGAUGUGGGGCAGCACAGGGUGGGGAGAGAGGAAUGAAGGGGGAAAUGAAGCCUCGAGUAGAACAGAGAAAGGCCACCCUCUCAGGGCGGCUGGACUGACUCUCCACACAGUUUCCCCCAUGCCAGGAGCUCUCCGGAGGCCCCAGGGAGCCUUUGGGCUGUGUGGAGGAGAGGAGGCUCUGAGUUGCAAGGACUGGCAGCUAUUGAAGCUCAAAAUGAAGCUAGGAGAGAAUUGGGGGUAAUGCCAACCUGAAAAUAUGGAGAGGACCUACCUACACUCCCUCCCCACUUCUCCUUUGCCCCCCACUUCCCUCCCCUUUAUAGAAGUUCUCUUAUUGAUUUUCUCGUGUCUUCUGGUUUUCUAGACUUGCUGUCAUCCAUCUCCUAUUAUAUUUAUUUACAACCCAUCUGAAGCUCUUCUUUACCUUCCCCUUAUUAUCCAUCUCUGUGGGUCUGCAAUGUGGAAAACCAAAUGGAUGAUAAAUGACUCUGGCUCAGAGCUGAGGCCUUCUGUCGAGUUCAUUUUUGGCCUCAGAGGCCACCGACAAUAGCAUUUGUAUCAUCUGUAUUUGUUUGGUCUCCCUUCCUGUUCCAACAGUGUUUAAUUUUUCAUGAUGAAUUUGUUUUGUCUCCUCUGUUUUCCCAUGAGCAUCACAGGGAGCCCAUUCUCUCCCCAGUCCUUCCUGCCAGGCCCCACCACCAAUGGUGUUCAGGAAAUAGGUUGAAGUGUUGAUGUAGCCUCUCAGCCACCACACAGGCUCCUUUCUAACUUUCUCUGCACAGUAGAAUUCUUUUAACUCAGGAUAGCAACACUGAAGAGGACAUGGUGGCUGGAACAGAUAGUAUUCCUCAAUAAUUGCUACCAGCCAUGCCAAAUGAAAAUACUCUAAAAUUUAAAGAAUACCUAUUUAGCAAAUAGUAUGUCAAGGAAGUCACUCAACGCUUAUCCCUCAACACCAUCAGCAUCUUGUCUCCUCCAUGGAAUUCCUGGCCUGGCCUGUGGUAUAAGAAGGUCUUUCUCACCAUUCUCCAAUUAAUCAUCUUCUUUACACAUUUAUCAAAUACAGAGUAACAGUGAAGUGUCAGGCACUUGGCAAGGAUCUGGUGACACACAGAAGAUAACCAUAUAGACCCUGUCUUUCAGGAGGUUAUGGCCUGGUCAGGAAGAGUACACAAAUGUAUUUAAAUAAAUAUUCCAUUAAAAUGUGUAGUUAGUUUGCUGUUGUUGUUUGGGAGAGGUUGAGGUUUUUGUUGUUGUUGUGUUUUUUUACUCUUUGGGGGCAUGCCACCCAGCUCUCAAAUAAAUACACAGAGACUUUUCUUACUUAUGAAUGCCUGGCCUUAGCUUGACUUAUUUCUAGCCAGCUUUUCUUAAAUUAUCCCAUCUACCUUUUGCCUCUGGGCUUUUACCUUUCUCUGUAUUUCUUUUUUUUUUUCCUUUUUACUCUGUGUUUGGCUGUGUAGCUAGGUAACUGGCCCCUGGCAUCCUCCUCUCCCCCCUUUCUUGUGCCUCACUCUUCUUCUUUUUCUUAGUUCUUCUCUCUGCCUGCUGGCCCAGCCUAUUUCUCUCUCCUGCCUAGCUAUUGGCUGUUCAGCUCUUUAUUAGACCAAUCAGAUGUUUUAGAAGGGCAAAGUAGCACAGCUUUACAGCGUUAAGCAAAUGUAACAUAAAAGAAUGCACAAAUCUUUGCAUCAUUAAACAAAUAUUCCACAGCAUAAAUGAAUGUAACACAUCUUAAACUAAUAUUUCACAACAAAAAUCCAUUUUGAUGAGUGCAUGGUGUGCUUUAAGCAAUGUUUUAAGUGCUGGAACCACAGCAACACUGGGGGGAAAUAGUCUAAUAUUGGAACAGAACUCUAAUUGAAACAUUCACCCACAGGCUCUCCGAGGAAGCAGUCUGUGUCUAGGUGUCUUAGUAAGUGGCCUUGGGAGUGAGAGCUGUGAGAAGAAGGAGAAAGUCAGAAUGGACACAGAAAAGUGGAGAGAAACUCAAUAGUAACAUUAGCUAAAAAUCCCACAGGAGCCAUAGCUGUCCUGACUGGAUCAAAAUAGCUGGGCUUUGCUAAGUCAUUGAGUGUGGGCCACAUCAGAAAGGAUUUCAUCUUGGAUGAAGUGACUCUUUGCCUCUGAGAGAGCUGAAAGGUAAAGACCACUGGCAGGCAGCCCUCCCAGUAACAGAAGCAACAACACCUCCAUUACAGCAAGAAUUGAGCAACUUACCCCCAUGUCCAUAAUAUGAGCAGCAUGGAGAAAGCAAGGUGAUAUGGGGGAUGCCCCUGCACACUGGUAUGUGCAUCCCCGACUCUCCCUGGGCUGAGUGGACUGAGCUUUAAGAGCACUCACUAGAGCCAGAAGAGAGGCUCUUACCAACAGACAAGCCCUGGCAGCAGCAAGCAUGCUCUAAAAUCUUAGGAGUUUCCUGCUGAUCUUUCUUCCUUACCUGCUAACCAAAUGCCCAAAUCACCAGGGAGUCCAGUGCUUUAUCCAAUUCUGCAUGCACCCAAUGGAAGGAGCCUGGGACCUUGAGUGACAGUGUGGAACAUGGUUCUUGCUUCUUCCGUCUUCACCCCUAAGCCAAUCAAUAGCACACCAUGACAUGAAGAAACAGACAUUUAAUUUUGUAUUCACUGAGCUUUGACAGCUAUUUGUUUCAGCAUUUCCCCUCCUUGAGUAAUACAAGAAUUUUGUUUUUCUUGGAGUGGAAAACUUCCUUUAAAACAGUGGUUUUCAACCUUCCUAAGGCCGUGACCCUUUAAUAUACAGUUCCUCAUGUUGUGGUGACCCCCACCACCACCAUAAAAUUAUUUUCUUAUUGCUUUAUAAGUGUAAUUUUGCCACUUUUAUAAAUAUCUGAUAUGUGACUCCUGUGAAAGGGUCUUUCAACACCCCCAGCAAGGGUCAAGACUCACAGGUUGAGAGCUUGUGAUGUAAAACAAUGACCAUAUGAAGCUGGCUAGAGAGGAGAGAUGGCAAACUAUGAAAUCGGGCAUCUGUGCUUGGAUAUUGGAUCCCAGGGCUGCCUGUCAUAACCUGGAAGUCAUCCAUGCCCAGGGGAAGAGCAUGGAAACAGAAAACAGAAUAUUGGCCCCAGUGCUGCCUGUGGACUGCAUCCAGCAAGACACCAAAAGAUAAAGGUAGAAGUGGCCAUGCUGGUCAUGUCACCUCCCUGGAAGGGUUGUAAGAGAUGACACGUAACACUGGACAGGACACUUUCAGCAGAGAGCUAGCGUGUAGCAAACAUUCAGUUCACGGUAGCCAUUAGCAUCUCUGCCUGCUAGACUCUGCCUCUGGCUCCCGCCCUCACUGGCACUUCAGCUGCUGGUGAACCAGUUUGCAGUACCCAGUGACCCCAGGGGCUGGCCCUGCAGCCCACAAACCAUCAACCACUGUCCUGCUGAUCGAAGCCCGAUGGUGUCUCUGGCUUUCUGCCUGGACACCAGCCAGUUUCCACCCUGCAAAUUUUGUCUUCUCCCUAGACUUUUAUUUUCAAUGCACUGUUAUUUUGCUUGUUUAAAAGGAAACAUUUAAUAUGUGUGCAAUUAGUUUUACCUAUCUAGCACAAUCAUCAUAAACCAUCUCUUAAGCCAUCUGUGUUCUGUUCACUGCUUUUUGUAUUAGCUGUAUGUAUACUUAAUCAACGCACUUUUGCACUACCGGUUUUUAAUAGUCUCUGUUUUAGUCCUUGGGGUCUUAAAGAAGAAACUAUACUGCUUUACAUAAUAUGUAAACUGUAUGCAAACAGAUGCACUACAGUGGACGGAAAGCUCCCUGAGCUGCCCCUGAUUCUUCUGUGUUGGGACAGGAGCUCUGCCUGGCUCCCAUCAUUUGUAGAUACUAGAAAUGUCACGGUCCAGCAUGGAAGAUUUAGGGAUGAGCAGUGCAGGCCCUGGACAUGUAAGAUGAUCCCCAACCUACUUUCUGCUGUUAUCACUAACCCUCUUGGUCUCAACAGUAGCCUAGAAACCACAUCCAAGCUGACUUCUGAAAAGAGAGCUUCAGGUCAGGCCCUGCAAUAUUGGUCUCCCCCACCUUCUUACAAUUACAGCAACUCUGUGAAAGCUGAGAACACCUGAGCAAGACUUCCUAUGAGCACAGAAAAGACCCAAGGUGAACUGUACGACAGCUAUUGGGUUAGUUCUUGGAGUGGGGGCACCCAGUGAUAAGACAAGAUCUCUACCUCCAGAGAGCUCCCAGGCUUCUAGAGACUAUAAGACAUAAACACCCCUCACUACUACCUAUGCAAGGACAUCAGGAUGGUACAUCAAGAAAGCAUCAGAGACACCAGCCUCACAGUCUUAUGCUUUCCAGCCUCUAGGAGUGUGAAAAGCAUUUUUCUGUGAAGUGUACUUUACCCAGCUUCAGGCAGCAUAAAAUGGGCUAAGACUCAUGGCCACUCAUAGUUGAAUGCUUCAGAAGAAAAACAAGUUUCAUCUCUUCCAGUGUGGUGUUUGCCGAGUCUAAGGGUGUGUAGGGUGCGUUUCUGGCUAUGCGGCAGGUCAUGUCCUUGCAUAGAGAGUGCUGUGAUUAUGUGGAAGCUGCCUUUAUAAAUGGCUCAUGGUCGUUGCCCUGGGAGGGCAGUGUCUGCCUGAAUGUCUGGGCUGGAGAAUCCAUCAGAUGCCUGUGGCUGAGAAUGUGCUUUUCUGGAAGAGAUUUAGCAUUUGAACUGGUGAACAAAGCAAAGCUCACCCUCACUAACGUGGGUGGCAUCAUCUACUCUGGAGAGGCCCAGACAGAACAAAAGGAAGCGUGAGAGCAAACUGACUCUCUCUUCAUGAGCUGAGCCAUCCAUCUCCUCCUCACCUCCCUCAGCAGUGCUUCAGAGUCUCCAGAUUUGCAGUCCAGGAUUUACACCAGCAACUGGCCUCUCCUUUCACCUGUAGCCUCACAAUGGAAAUCACUCCAUUAACUCCCCCCAGCAACUAGGUCUUCAGACUCAGCCUUCUCAGGACUUCUGCUUGCAAAUGCUUUUGAGGUUUGUCCUGACUGCAGACUACAUCAGUACUUC
rnacentral:lncRNA from 1 species